GACGAACCGUCCAAACGUUAUUCGGAAUCACUGGGCUUACAGAGUUCGUAGGCGGUCUGGAAAGUUGGGUGAUGAAAUCCCUCGGCUCAACCGAGGAACUGCGCUCAAAACUACCCGACUCGAGGGAAAUAGAGGAAAGCGGAACUGAUGGUGGAGCGGUGAAAUGCGUUGAUAUCAUCAGGAACACCGGUGGCGAAGGCGGCUUCUGGGUCUUACCUGGACGCUGAGGAACGAAAGC
rnacentral:rRNA from 1 species